ensembl:lncRNA
GACUCAUUGACCAAACACUUGCAUGCAUGUUUAUGAGCAAUAUAUUUCCCACAAAUCCCUACGGCAAACAGUGAAUCGUGAUGACGCAAAACACAACACGAGGAGAAACCGGCUGAACUCGCGAACGAAUAAAAAAAUCAAUCCUAGACAUGCAAACAAUUAUACAAUGCAAGUUUUACUUCCGAAUUGCCUAUUUGUUUCAGUUACAUUACUCAUGAAGAUGAUUGAAUAGUUAGAAGCCGUACUAGCAGAAUUUCGGUAUCUGCCCUGUGCACUCGUCUGUUCUCGGUUUUGGAAUGGGAUUGCAGACUGACGUUUUGAACAGCAGAGUGACUCAAAACGAACAAAUCCAGGAUGUGCCACUCCCACACUCAUGAGACAGCAGAGAAAUAAUUAAAGCAUUGACAGAACUGCUGUGAAAA